rnacentral:rRNA from 1 species
UACGUAGGGGGCAAGCGUUGUCCGGAUUUAUUGGGCGUAAAGAGCGUGUAGGCGGCCAGAUAGGUCUGCUGUGAAAACUCGAGGCUCAACCUCGAGCUGUCGGCGGAAACCAUCUGGCUAGAGUCCGGAAGAGGAGAGUGGAAUUCCUGGUGUAGCGGUGAAAUGCGCAGAUAUCAGGAAGAACACCUAUGGCGAAGGCAGCUCUCUGGGACGGUACUGACGCUGAGACGCGAAAGCGUGGGGAGCGAACCGG